AGUCAUGUCCAGUUCUGUAAACACAUUCUCAACUGCACCAGAAGUCCUGGCAGUUAAGAGAACCCAGUGAAGAAACCUUUUGCAGAGAGAGAAAAUAACCCUUUUGAAUGUGAUCAAUCACGCUGAUUUAUUUGGAUGAUUUCUCUUCUGGAUUUUCUUAAACCAGGGAAAACCCAAAGACAGAGGUCUUGCUAUGUUGCCCAGACUGGUCUCAAGCUCCUGGCCUCAAGCAAUCCUCCUUCCUCAGCCUCCAAAAGUGCUGGGAUUACAGGUGCAACAGUGACCCGAGAUGCAGUAGGGAGGGCUGUUUUCCAUGCCCAGUGAGGCCUGCCCAGCUCCCAUGUGGCCUUUAUGGAUGGCCUGCCUCCCAACUGGUACCUGGUCCCGUCACAGUCCCAGGACUCUAGACCUCGAGGCAGCCAGGCCACAAAAUGCAUGGCACAGGGAAGGGUUUGAUAACUUUUUGAUGGAUGAACAAAGAAGAUUAAAGCCACUUGCCAACAAGCCCAAAGUGAUUGAAAGUGGAAGCAUUUACCCACACACUCAUGCAGAAAAUGACAGGAAAUCAUCCAGAGACACUUGUGACAGAGAUGAGAACUGUCACUGUUGAGAGGUGCUGCGGAGAUGGGUGUCCACGGAUGACUGUUGGGAGGCCGACUUCGGGGAUGUGGCCCCAUUAGCUCAAGAGUGGGCAACUCCCUACCACACUGAUGGCGUUGGCCAGGACAGGACAAGCCUACUGCAGUGACAAAGUGUCACUGAUCCCUGAUGCCCACGUGGGUGUUUUACUUUAGCUAAUGCUGCAGAGAUAAUGCAGACAGAGAAAUUGAGGCCCCAGCGCUGAGCAGCCCAAUCACCUGGUUGUAAGCAGCGAGGGUUUCUGGCUCUGCUCCUGGGCCCCAAACCACUGUGGGCUCAAGAAGAAUCUUCCAGAGUUGGAGUCAGAAUGUCAGGGUUUGAGUGUGGUCUCCACCCCUAAUGACCUUGCAUUGAUAAUUCUAUUCCCUGAGCCUCAUUUUACACAUCUAUAAAAUGGGGAGAAAUAGUUUAUUUCCUGGUUACCUCACUGAGCUGUUGUAUCAAAAAAGAAUAUAUGUAAUAAAAUGCUUUCCUAAGUAAAAAAAAGAUUUCCUAAAAAAAGAUUUCCUAAGUAAAAGACAGAUUUUAUUUUAUAUUUUUAGUUAAGGUUUGCAAAAUUAGAUGUCAGAUUAGGAAAUCCGGACUACCGUGUGUGAUCAGGAAAGUUAUGACUUCAAAAGAAAACAUACUUGGCAGAAAAACCUUACAUGUGAGCCAGACAUGAUGAGAUCUAAUAACCGGUGGGCAUUGGUGGAGUGAGUUAUGUCUUACCUUGUGUUUAUCUUUUGAAAUCUAGGUAAUCUUAGCCAGGAGCUGUAGCUCAUGUCAAGAAUCACAGCAGUUUGGGAGGCUGAGGCGGGAAGAUCACUUGAGCCCAGGAGUUCGAGACUAGCCUGAGCAACAUAGUGAGACCUCAUCUCUACAAAAAAUUAAAAUAAAAUAAAAU